CAAUGUACAGCAGAACUUUUCAGAAGAGAUUGAUAGUUGCAGAGUAGCUCCGGUAUAAAUAUCAAAUCAAAUUAUAUCAAGAAAAUAGUUUCUGCCGUGAAAUGCAGUUUGGCCGUGACGGUUAUGAUAAAUCUGGCCUGUUCGGCUAUGGCAUCAAGUGCUACGAAUGCGAUUCGGUUACUACACCCAAAUGCGCCCUGAAGAUUGAGGAGGGUGAGUCUUCGUUAACUGAGUGCAAAUAUAUAUAUAUAUAUGUCUUUUUAUAUGUGCCAACCAACCGGCUGCAUGACGACUGAAGUCAAGAGCGGUUAUUUAGCUGAGGCUUGGAACAUUUUCUUUGCCUCGCCUAGAUCAACAACAGACAUUUUUUAUCAGCUGCGACAAUUUCACGUGAGGCUUGCCAACCUAGUUUACAACAAACAGAUGUUUCGAUAAACUAUGUUUACGCCCUCCAAGUGUUUGAAUUUGAAUGUUUGCCAAGAUUAAUGCUGAUGCGAUGCGAAUCCUCCUGAAUCCAACUAGUUGUUUGUAGUCAGUUUUCUCCAGUUAACUACGCAGUAUGAAAUAAAAGCACCAGUAAUACAUCCGCAACAAAUACUAAAUACUGAGCGCCGAAGUUAAAAUACCCUUAUAGGAAAAAAUGAGAUUCUCUAUACAAUAUAUAACAUAUAUAUCACAUUCCCAGCCGGAUAAAACUCUACCAAGCUACCAGCUAUAUUCAAGCCAAGGACUGCAUCAUUAUUAUUAUAUAAAUUAA